GUGCGUGUGCGCCGGUGCGGUACUGUGUUCCGAUCGAUCCGCUGAAAGUGGCCGUCGUCGUCGUCGUCUACGAGACGUGUAUUGUACCACAAGGAAGUGUGGAAUAGAAGUGCACUGUGGGUCGGAGUGGAAAAAAUUGUGAAAAAAAAAGAAAUCGACAAAAGUGUUUUGCGAAAA